rnacentral:lncRNA from 10 species
UUCCGCGGAGCCGGGCAGAGGUUUUAGGGGUGCGCAGGAGUCAAGUGGUGGUUCAGUGGGGACGGAAUGAUUAACAAAGGCGUCCGAAGAAAUCGUUGUUGGAAGGUGACCAAGGUGGAAAGAGACGUUGCUUUGGCCCUGCAAGUAAGAAGAGAGAGGGAAUAGCCUGAAGGAGUAACACUAAAUUUAAAAUGACACUUUUUUACCAACCAGCGAAAGCAGAUGUUCAAAGGGGAUAUUGGCCAGGUGCGGUCGCUCACGCCUUUAAUCCCAGCACUUUGGGGGCAGACGCGGGGAGAUAGCGUGAUUCUAGGAGUUCAACCCCAGCCUGGGCAACAUGCGGAGACCCCGUACCGUCUCUACAAAAACAUUAAACAAAAAAAUUAGCUGGGCAUGGUGGUGUACCCCUGUAGUUGCAGCUACACUAGAGGCUGAGGUGGGAGGAUCGCUUGAGCCCGGGAUGUUGAGGCUGCAGUGAGCCUCGAUCCUACCACUGUGCUCCAGCCUGGGCGACAGCAAGCCCGUGUCUCAGAAAAGGCGGGAGGGGUGGGAUAUUAUUGAUGAUAGGCCUUCUGACGUCUGGCAAUAGAUUCCAGAGUAACAUCGGUCAUGGAUAAAUUUUUUUUUUAACUAAGUGACUGAAACCAAAGUUAAUUGUCUUUUGAGUGAUUUUGCACAGUAUCUCAAAAUGAACUGUACUUUUUUUCUUGUGUCACUGAAACAGUGCUGUGUGUUCUUUUUCAGAGUCUGUCACACUAAGAUGAGAAAUGUCCUUUCUUCCUGAAGGUGUCUGAUGUGUAAAAAUAUGAUAUACUUUGUGCUGUU